rnacentral:misc_RNA from 1 species
AAUCAUUCGAUACUAUCUCACUUAUCCGCUACAUUGAUGGAUUACAAUUGGGAGUGAGAAAAGGUAUACCUGAGGGACUGCUGGGUACAAACGAAGUGUUUCAGUGAUCCCUGCAUGCAGGUAAUAUAAUUUUCCCAAUGAAUAAUAAGUCAAGAGUCCUGCAUAUUGCACUGUUCUUUGAAUGAAAGAUUCAAGAUCAUCCAAGUCAAACUGAAGCAAUGUAACAUUCUCUUCCUUUGCCCUAUCUUCCUCAAAAGUUUUGAGUUCCAAGUAGAGCUUCUCAGCUACAUGAUUAUGUGUCAUUAUCAUGUAUAUUGCCCAAGAGAGAGUUGUUGCAGUUGUGUCUCUCCCAGCUCUCACAAAGUUGAGGACAACAUCUCUCAGACUUUUAUCUGUCAAAUUGCUUUCUGGGUCUUCACCUAACUCAAUGAACCUUGAUAAUAUAUCAUGUUUCUCCUGAUUUUUCCCAUCAUAAACAAGUACUUUGGUCAGUGAAGACAAUUUCUUUUCAUCAUUCUAGAGUAGAAAAGCUGUUAAUAAAUAGUUAUGAAACCUUGUUAUUAUCGUUCUUUUGAGCUUCUUCCAUUUCUGUUUUCCUUUUAUAUAUGACAGAGUAGGUGAAAUCAUCAAUGAUUUUAAUGCUCAUAUCAAGUAGAGCUUCUGAUCCCACAUUAAGGAAUUUCUUUAUUUUCCACAAUGGAUCAAUGAAGCAAAGUGUAACAAUGAUGUUGGCAGUAUCAAAAGCCUUAGCAAAACAAUUAUCUGGUAGAUUGGGAGCCAAUGUUCCUAUUUCUACACCAAACCCAACUUUGCAUAUGGAGUCCAAUGUCAUCCUCAUAAACAAUUCCUAUAAAAUUAAGACACUUAUCAGUUUUAAGUUAGAAUGGACAAAAAAUUAUCAAGAUUGGCAUUUUAAAACCACCAGAAUGAAUGAAUCUAAAUAUAACUUUUCAAGUCACCUGCAUAUCUACUACUUGGUUGUGAAAAGAUGCAUGACUAAGGAUAGAUGAGAGCUUCAAGCUAUACUCUCUAAAGACUCUGGUGCUGAAGUCCCUCAAAUUCUUGGAUUCAAACUCAAAACUAUCAGUCUUCCUUUGUUUCCUCCAUAUUUCACCAUCUACAUUAAAUAUUCCUUCUCCAAGCAGCGCUUCCAUAUAUGAAUGGUAUGUUUCACCCUUCAAUUGAUAUUAAUUUCCUUUUAUCAUCAAAUAUAAGAAAAUAUCAUAAUGGACUUCAAAAACCAGAGUAAAGAAAUACACAAUAUUGAUUAUGGAGAUUUGUUACCUUUGGAUAAUUGGCAAAGUUGGUCUUAAGAACAUGUUCAACAUUAGCAGGAUCUGCAAUGUAAGUGUAUGUUGUGAAUGGCAUGGGAACUACUAUAGUUCCCAAUUUAGAGAGGUAUUCAACAAUCCAAUCAUGCAUUCUAUAAUAGUUGACAAGCUGCUCAAUUGCUGCACUAACAAUUGGCCAUGUUUUUAGUCCCUUCAUGUUCCUUUGGUUCCAUCUAUGGAUAAAAAUCCAUGUCAAAGCCAAGCAAGCUAUCAUCAAUAUUCCCAUGUUGUAUCCAUCAGAAGAAGAAGAAGAAGAAGAGAUAGAAAGAGG